ACCAGCUGACAAUCUAGUCUUCCUAAUUAAGAGAUUCCUUUCAGUUUAACCUAGUUCUCUGAAGAUGUGGGAGCCAAGGACAUUGGUAGUCAUGUGACUCUUGUGUUCUCCUAGCAACUAAGUGAUUACAUCACCCACUUGGCUCUGAUUGGUUUCCAAGGGCUCGGGAGCUAAUCAGUCCCUUGCAUACAUUUAGCUAUGCUGUGACCAGUGAGGCUCAUACAGAGGCUGUUGCUUUCUGGCAUUCCAUCAUGACAGAGAUGGCUCAGAGAGGGCCUGAACCUCUGAUGCACCAUCAUGUCAGUGGUAGCUGGCCAUCAAGAUCCUGUACCUGGCUGAAUGCUUUUUUCUACUUUGUGAACUGUCCUUCUGCCUGCUGGAACUCUUGCUCAUCUAGAGGCAUUUGGUUGUCACCAGAACUGAUACAGCUUGAAAUCAAAGAGAUGCUUGCAAUGACAUCACAGGGGAUCUUGCUGAUUCUUCAGAUCUUAUGCAGCAUUUGUGAACUGCUAUGAAUUCAUCACAAUGUAAUAUUUUAUUAAUGGAGCUCAUGACAAAGAAAUGAGUUAUUUGAGCCUGUGGAAACCUGUUUGCAUCUGCCAGGCAGUGAAAAUAAAAGAACUUGAAGA